UUGGUAUCUGUAGGUAAUCGCAAAGUAUGACACUAUUUUGCACAAACAAAUCCACAAACAAACUCUUCACAACAUGUCAUAGAUAGACUAGCAAUUUUUUUACACGGUGACUGGAUAACUUUAAUAUUCUUCUGCAGUACUGACAACACAAACAUUGUGUGAGAACUGAAAAAAGACCCUGUUUCAUAGAUACAAAAGAAGACAUUCCCACGGGUGUAAAGACCACUCCAAGGCACAGCUUCAGGCACCAAUCCUUCAAGAACUGACUGGAAUUCGAAACUGCUGAGCUGAAAUUCAUAUAGAAAUUUGACACCAUUAGAAGAGGUCUAAAUAGACACAUGGAAUGACUCUCAUUACAAGAAGUCCCUUACAGGUACUCUUACCUCAUCACUGCUGGAGGUGAGUCACGUCCACUCACCAAUAUACUACACCCAUCUCUGUAUCCCUUCCUUUCUUUCUCUUCAAGCAUCUGAAGAAAAAGGUUGGAUCACACAAAAACUUAUGACCUAAUAAAUGUGUUAGCCUUUAAGGUGUCACCGGACUCAGUGUUGUUUUAGUCCUCUACAGUGAAGUUUAUUAAAUGUCCCUAGUACCUUCGCUGUGUCCCUCUACUGCUGAGAAAAAUCAAAUAAUAAUAAUGUGCCUUUCUUUAAUGUAGUUUGCACAUUUGCCUUACAUUUGCCUUCCUCCCACAAGAAAAGAGUUCCCAUUUGUGCUCAGUAUGAGCUAUGAUGUCAAUACUAAAGUCAAUGAAAUUUUAGCAGCUCCAGUCUGUUAUAAAACUGUACAUUUCUCUGCAGCUCAGUGAAGUUUUAAUGUUUUCAAGAAACUGGAUUUUCAUAACAAUCCUAUUGGAUAUAUUCACCUACAGUCAGCAGCCCAGGCAAACACUUGCUUUGUAGCACUCCAAUCAGCAUCACAGCCCUCAAUUUUUCUUUUGACUAUGUCAAUACAACAAGUCUCCUGUAACUUCAGGCUAAUCAUCGGUGCUUGUACCAUAUGUCAGAUGUCGUGUGAAGAAAUAAGAACAUUUGUUACCAAUUCAAAGGAGCCUUGUGGCAGUGCCUCAUACCUUUACAUGUUCACCUGGUGCUUAACUCAUUAACACAAUGUUGAAUCAACUCCAUCUGCCAAGUCUGACAAAGUGGCAACUUCUUGAAAAUCAAGAGUGACUGAAAUUAUUGAUGAGCCUCCAAAAAUGAUUUGCUUUUCAGCCCUGAACUUCCUAAAAAUGAAAUUCCAGAAACUCACAUUUGCAGAACAAAUGGUGUCUUUGUGGGUUGCCAUCCUCGUGAGCCAUGCUUCCAAGAGUUAAAGUCACUGUUGUGCAGAGUACCAGCACAAGUACUAAGGUUGUGCACAUUAACCUUCAGAUCUCAUUUCCCUCCAUUUCCGCAUCUUUGCUACCAGGAUUAAUUUUAGUUGGACAAUGAUUAACAUACCAUGAUGAACACUGCAGAAACAGCUCAAAUUUGGGUAGGUAAUUAGAACCUCUCAAUCUUAGCACCUAGUUACCAGCUUCCUAGGCCUUCCCAGAAGAAAACUUGCUGUUUUCACCUGUUUUUAGAUUUCUUGAUAAUUUUAGCUGAUUGGAGAAAAAGCAGUUCCAUAAAUGAUGACACACCUACUUGCCAUUCUUAUAGUCACCCAGUUAAUAAAAGUUACUUAGCUAUCCAAAACAGGGUUUCUACAUACCAGGGCCUCUAUUGGGAUGUGUCUAGACUACAGUUUUUUUUUUUUUUUAAAGUGGCCUUUUUUCAAAAAAAC